AGAGAAGUUACAAAGGGCGAACAGAGGAUGCCUUGGCUUCUGGUAGCGAAGAAGGACGCGGAAAGCUGCGAAAAAGUACGGGGAUUGGCCAACACGAAUUGAUCCGUACGUCUCCGAAUGGGGCAACCCACUUGACUGAAGGUCAAGUACACUUACGAGUGAGCAAACGCAGGGAACUGAAACAUCUCAUUACCUGCAGGAAAAGAAAGAAAAAUCGAUUUCCUUAGUAGUGGCGAGCGAACAGGAAAGAGCCUAAACCGAUGUUGUUGCGGCAAUAUCGGGGUUGAAGGAUUAUCCAUUAUACUUUGUUAUAUAAUUAGAAUUACCUGGAAAGGUAAGCCAUAGAGGGUGAUAGCCCCGUAUAAGUAGGAAUAAUGAAGUUAGCGAUAACACCUGAGUAGGGCGGGACACGAGGAAUCCUGUCUGAAUCUACGGGGCCCAUCCCGUAAGGCUAAAUAUGACCAGAAGACCGAUGGUGAACCAGUACUGUGAAGGAAAGGUGAAAAGAACCCCGAACAGGGGAGUGCAAUAGACCCUGAAACUGUUCGUCUACAAGCGGUCGGAGCGGAAUUAUCCGCGACGGCGUGCCUUUUGCAUAAUGAGCCUACGAGUUGUUCCACAAUAGCGAGGUUAAGUUCUUCAGGAACGUAAGCCGAAGCGAGAGCGAGUCUGACAAGGGCGUUUAGUUAUUGUGGACAGACGCGAAACCUAGUGAUCUACCCUUGGCCAGGUUGAAGUAGCCGUGACAGGCUAUGGAGGACCGAACCGGUUUACGUUGAAAAGUAUUCGGAUGAGCUGAGGGUAGGGGUGAAAGGCUAAUCAAACUGGGAGAUAGCUCGUACUCCCCGAAAUGUCUUUAGGGACAGCCUCACAAGUGCUUAUCGGAGGUAGAGCGACUGAUAUGAUGCGAGGGCUUCACCGCCUAUCAAUUCAUGACAAACUCCGAAUGCCGAUAAGUUGAUUGUGGGAGUGAGUCGUCGGGUGCUAAUGUCCGGCGGCGAGAGGGAAAGAGCCCAGACCAACGGCUAAGGCCCCCAAAUGUAGUUUAAGUUGAUAGAACGAGGUGGUAACGCAGAGACAGCUAGGAUGUUAGCUUGGAAGCAGCUAUUCAUUUAAAGAGUGCGUAACAGCUCACUAGUCGAGCGAUACUGCGUGGAUAAUAAACGGGCAUCAAAACUACUGCCGAAGCCAUGGACUCAAAUGAGUGGUAGGGGAGCAUUCCAGUCAGCUGUGAAGAUCAGACGUGAGUUUGGUUGGAGCGGCUGGAAAAGAAAAUGUAGGCAUAAGUAACGACAAUGCGGGCGAGAAACCCGCACACCGAAAUCCCAAGGUUUCCUGAACAACGUUAAUCGGAUCAGGUUAAGUCGGGACCUAAGGGGUAUCCAAACGGAGAACCCGAUGGACAAAUGGUUAAUAUUCCAUUACCUGUGAUAGUAGAGAAGGAGAGACGGAGUUGUGACACAUCCGCGAACUGACGGAAUAGUUCGUUAAAGGGAGGUAGAUAAAUCACGUAGUUAAAAGCUUGUGAUGUCGAUUCCUGACAGUACCGAGCGUCUUCGGACAAUUGGAUAGUGAUGGUAAGCGUACUUCCAAGAAAAUCUUCGUAUCGUUAAUACUAUUACAGCCCGUACCGUAAACCGACACAGGUGGGAAAGGAGAGAAUCCUAAGGUGCUCGAGCGACUCAUGGCCAAGGAACUCGGCAAACUAACCCCGUAACUUCGG
rnacentral:rRNA from 1 species